rnacentral:rRNA from 1 species
GCGAUCAUACCAGCACUAAUGCACCGGAUUCCGUCAGAACUCCGCAGUUAAACGUGCUUGGGCGAGAGUAGUACUAGGAUGGGUGACCUCCUGGGAAGUUCUCGUGUUGCGCCC